rnacentral:rRNA from 1 species
GACGAACGCUGGCGGCGUGCUUAAUACAUGCAAGUCGAACGGAAAGGCCCUGCUUUUGUGGGGUGCUCGAGUGGCGAACGGGUGAGUAACACGUGAGUAACCUGCCCUUGACUUUGGGAUAACUUCAGUAAACUGGGUCUCAUACCGGAUAGGAGCUCCUGCGGCAUGGUGGGUUUUGGAAAGUUUCGGCGGUUGGGGAUGGACUCGAGGCUUAGCAGCUUGUUGGUGGGGUAGUGGCUUACCAAGGCUUUGACGGGUAGCCGGCCUGAGAGGGUGACCGGCCACAUUGGGACUGAGAUGCGGCCCAGACUCCUACGGGAGGCAGCAGUGGGGAAUAUUGCACGAUGGGCGGAAGCCUGAUGCAGCAACGCCGCGUGCGGGAUGACGGCCUUCGGGUUGUAACCCGCUUUCGCCUGUGACGAAGCGUGAGUGACGGUAAUGGGUAAAGAAGCACCGGCUAACUACGUG